rnacentral:rRNA from 1 species
UACAGAGGGGGCAAGCGUUGUUCGGAAUUACUGGGCGUAAAGGGCGCGUAGGCGGCCUUCUAAGUCGAACGUGAAAUCCCCGGGCUCAACCCGGGAACUGCGUCCGAUACUGGAAGGCUUGAAUCCGGAGAGGGAUGCGGAAUUCCAGGUGUAGCGGUGAAAUGCGUAGAUAUCUGGAGGAACACCGGUGGCGAAGGCGGCAUCCUGGACCGGCAUUGACGCUGAGGAGCGAAAGCUAGGGAGCAACGGG